rnacentral:lncRNA from 1 species
GCCUCCACUUUUAGUCCCGGUUAGUGUUAUCAACCGGGACUGAAGAGUUUUUUUCUUUUUUCCUGUUCUUUUCUUUUGGUUUUCCAUUUAGAGUUUACAAUUAUGUUAUUAUUAUUUUCGAAUGCAUAUUGUUUGCUGCUAGUUUAUGGAAACGCGCACCUAUAAUUUUUAUAAUUUAAAGCAUUACAUAUAAAUGUACUAUAAAACACUAUAUAUAUAUAUUAUAUAUGUAUCUAUAAGUCCAUAAUAUAGUAUUUACACAUGCAUCAUAGACAAAGUAUUUACAACAAAAUUUAUCUCUGCCGCUCAAGCACCGUACAAAUGAUCAUUGUGAUUUGGUUUCAUUGGCUCCUCAGGGUUGAAGUAGCACUCGCCGCCGGGAUUCAAGACUUGGUCGUUAAGAAAUUCUGCGAUUGUCUCUUGAAUUCCUUUUAGGCGGACCGCAUCCAACACCUGCUCCUUCAACCACAUCUCCUUUAAUAGACAUUAAAGAAAAAAUUUAGAGGUAUGAAUAGGAUUUAUUAAAUAGCAACAAAUAAAUAAAAUAAACUUAUUAUAUAUACAUGUUACAUACUUUUAGGAGCUCAAGAUUAGUUUUUUUGGCAUCGACCGUCAUAAACUCGCACACAUAGUAGUCACACAAAUUGUUACCCGAUGUGUGCCGUAGAACCCACUAAAGUAAGAUAGACUUUAAAAGUGGCGCUUUCAAAUCUGGAUGGUGUUUCUGCACGAACCCAGCCCAAACCCUGAAGUUUGCUGAAGUUUGCUAAAAUCUCUGAAUAUGUUCAUUCCUUCUGAAACCAUUAAUUCCUUCUAAACUGACCAAAUCUCAGUCCAUACGUUCAUUCCUUCUCAAACCACUCAUUAUUGUAAAUCGUAGCAAUGCUGGACUAGAACCGGUCAUCAGUAACCAAUAAAUCUUGAGCUGCCUUUUCUUUUCAUUUUGCAUUUUCAUGUCGCCGAGCUGUUCGCGGCCAGCGUCUCUGAGUUUCCAAUUUUCUUUGCUGCGUGCAAUAGAUAAUAUAGCAAUGGGGGAAAAUGCCGAAUCAUUUCUCGGAGUUACCUUUGGAUAAUAUCUAUCAUUCAAGAUGUAGGAUCAAUCCGAGAGAUAUUCAACCAGAUUAAAGAUGAUCUUUCUCCUUUUUUGAAAGAAACAAUUCAGCUAGCUGC